UAAUAUCGCUUUCUCUAUGACAGACUCCUGCUAGUACUAGUUGUAGUAUGACUAGUGUUUUGUUGGUGGUUUGCUGUCAGUCCUCCAUUCUGAACCGUUCGCUUUGUGUCCCUAGAGUUCUGUUAUCAUCGAAGCCAAUUAAUGUUAUGGUGUUGUGUAUGUGUAGAUGGGUAAACCGUGUCACAAGCCCAUGUGCUCUAAACAUAGUGGUGUCCA
rnacentral:lncRNA from 1 species